GGGUUCAGUAUCUCGCUCAAGGACACUUCGACAUGCAGCUGAGCACUGCCCGGAGCUGGGAAUGAACCAGUGACCUUCCAAUCACUAGUCGACCUGCUCUACCUGCUGAGCUACAGCCACCCACCACCUUGGUCCUAUAUUCUUCAAUACUGUGAGGAUCAACCCAUGACCAUCGACACCAUGGUGCCACAGAUGAGGCAGCUGCACUGGCUUAACUGUCAAUCGACGAUAACUGUCAGUCGAUUAUGGAGUCAUCACUGCUGGAUCACAUAGAGACAUGUGCUUCCCUCUCACUGCAAAGGCUUCUCCAUAACUAAGCAUAAGGUUCUUCAGGUCCUCCAUUGUGAUCCAGCCACUGCACAGCUGAGACCUCCAGACUACUCAGAGAGCUAAACAUGCAUAAGACAUUCAACCCUUCAGAACUUCUCUGUGUCAGGUGACUCUAGAGGGAAAAUGGGGUUCUGCCCUGCAGCAGUGUUCAAGGGUGAACUCCAUUCCCCUGACUCUCAACGCCUCUGUGUCGGCAACGCUUUCCUCAUGCCAAACAUGACCAGAUAAUAGGGAGCAGCAGUUCUUCCAGCAACUGAACAUAUCAAAGGUCUUGACCUCAGAUCCAUCUAAAUCUGUUGACAGCUGUGGUUUGUGGCAGCAAUGAACAGAUUGAACAAACAGCAUCAUGACAGAAUCACUACUGAAGAUUACACUACUGAACCAAAUCUGAAAUAUAGGACACGAGUUUCGUCUGUUUUGUUAAUUAUUUGUCUUAUAUGAUUCAUUGAACAUUUUUUUUAUUUUUCAUUUCAUGAAAAUGUAUGUUUGUUUUUUUUGUUUUUUUUUUUCAUUUCAUCCUUUCCAUCUUUAUCUGUUGGCUAUCCAACAGAGGACACAGAUAAAGGUGGAAAUCAUUUCCAUUAUGCCACAUGCAUCUGAACUUGCUACUCUGUAGGGUCAGCUAUUUAAAAAAUAGUAAUCAUUAGUGUGGGGUUUCAGCUGGUAGGUAUAGUAAAGGUUUUUCACCAUUGUAUACUUAGCCUUGGGCUAGUGUAACCCUCUGAAAAGCAGUUUUGGAUAAGCCCAGUACUGAGACUAUACACUGAAGCUCAGGGUCUGGUCUUUAGAACGUCCCAAACACAUGGCUUGGAUAUGAGCCUUGUCACGUGAUUUGAUUGGGAAACAAACCUGGAGACCUGAGGUCACAAAAGUGAUGUUAACUUUAAAAAGUAAAGGUUAACUGAGUUCUGAGUCAGUCCAGGGCUACUGGAGCUUGAAGCCAUAAACUACUGGGGCUAAUUAGCCUAAGUCUAACUACAAUCUGAAAACUUUUCAUGGUAGGGCUGAACAAUAUCUGAAAUCACUAAUAUUACAGUAUCAUCAGGCAUGUACAUGGUGUCAUUGCUCAAUCCUGUCACCCAAUAUUUACCCAUCACUCUCUGUAUCCCUCUUUAAAAAAGGAACAAAUAGCAAACAAACAAACAAAAUAAUUUUAUUUGAACCCAAAAACAAACAACAACUACUACUGAUUGUAAUAAUAUAUAUUUUGUUGAGCCCUGCCUUAGGAAGUAUUUUGAAAACCAGUAUUUUGAUUUGAAAGGGACUGCUUUCAUGUAUUUUCUAUAUAUUUUUCUCAUAUUUGUGUCUUAGUAUUUUGUUUUAUUGCUUUUUCUUCUAUUUAUUUCCGAAUAGGAAACGUAAUGAUAAUCACAUUUUUUAAAAUCUAAUUUCAUUUGAAGUUGUGUUUGUGUCUCUGAACUAAAUAGUGGGCAAGGAGGAGUCAAACAGUUCAUGGAGAUUCACCCAAACCCAGUUUACUAAAAAACUUACA